rnacentral:rRNA from 1 species
AGUCGAACGGUAACAGAAAGCAGCUUGCUGCUUUGCUGACGAGUGGCGGACGGGUGAGUAAUGUCUGGGAAACUGCCUGAUGGAGGGGGAUAACUACUGGAAACGGUAGCUAAUACCGCAUAACGUCGCAAGGCCAAAGAGGGGGACCUUCGGGCCUCUUGCCAUCGGAUGUGCCCAGAUGGGAUUAGCUAGUAGGUGGGGUAAAGGCUCACCUAGGCGACGAUCCCUAGCUGGUCUGAGAGGAUGACCAGCCACACUGGAACUGAGACACGGUCCAGACUCCUACGGGAGGCAGCAGUGGGGAAUAUUGCACAAUGGGCGCAAGCCUGAUGCAGCCAUGCCGCGUGUAUGAAGAAGGCCUUCGGGUUGUAAAGUACUUUCAGCGGGGAGGAAGGGAGUAAAGUUAAUACCUUUGCUCAUUGACGUUACCCGCAGAAGAAGCACCGGCUAACUCCGUGCCAGCAGCCGCGGUAAUACGGAGGGUGCAAGCGUUAAUCGGAAUUACUGGGCGUAAAGCGCACGCAGGCGGUUUGUUAAGUCAGAUGUGAAAUCCCCGGGCUCAACCUGGGAACUGCAUCUGAUACUGGCAAGCUUGAGUCUCGUAGAGGGGGGUAGAAUUCCAGGUGUAGCGGUGAAAUGCGUAGAGAUCUGGAGGAAUACCGGUGGCGAAGGCGGCCCCCUGGACGAAGACUGACGCUCAGGUGCGAAAGCGUGGGGAGCAAACAGG